GACGAACGCUGGCGGCGUGCUUAACACAUGCAAGUCGAACGGAAAGGCCCUGCUUUUGUGGGGUGCUCGAGUGGCGAACGGGUGAGUAACACGUGAGUAACCUGCCCUUGACUUUGGGAUAACUUCAGGAAACUGGGGCUAAUACCGGAUAGGAGCUCCUGCUGCAUGGUGGGGGUUGGAAAGUUUCGGCGGUUGGGGAUGGACUCGCGGCUUAUCAGCUUGUUGGUGGGGUAGUGGCUUACCAAGGCUUUGACGGGUAGCCGGCCUGAGAGGGUGACCGGCCACAUUGGGACUGAGAUACGGCGCAGACUCCUACGGGAGGCAGCAGUGGGGAGUAUUGCACAGUGGGCGGAAGCCUGAUGCAGCGACGCCGCGUGCGGGAUGACGGCCUUCGGGUUGUAAACCGCUUUCGCCUGUGACGAAGCGUGAGUGACGGUAAUGGGUAAAGAAGCACCGGCUAACUACGUG
rnacentral:rRNA from 1 species